AAAAAAAAAAAAAAAGAAAUAAAAAUACCUAUGCUUUUAUUGUGUUUCAGCCAUUCAUUUUGUUAAGAUUUGAUGGGAGGUUUAAAUUGAUAUAAUCUUAAAUUCAUAUAUUGAAUUGAAAAAAUUACGAAAUCAAAUCGAAGAAAAAGUAAACUUUCUUUUUAUUUGAUGCAAAUUGAAUUGCUUAGCGUGACUAAUAAACUACAGGCCCAUUUUGGCCCAUUCUCCAAAUUUUGGGCCCUCAUACUGGGCCUAAACGCACUCGUACUUUUACCCAAUUCCUCUUUGGCAAAAACCCAUAACUAUAAAUUUCCAUCUAUCUCUGGUAGGAAAAAGAUAAAAUUCCAACUAGUCCAUGAGGUUCAGCCAACUGUACAGUUUCAUCCCAAUAUUUAAAAAUAAAAGGAAUUAAGGAGUCCCAAAAUUUAAUUCCAUUAAUGAAAUAAUAUUUUUAUUUCCAUAGACCUGGUUUAGGUAGGUCUAAACCUUAUUAUAAUUAAUAUUAAUUAACCAAUAGUCAAUAAAUAUUUUUUUGAAAAAUAUAAUUCAUUAACUAUAAUAUCAAACAUUACGAAUAAUCAUAUAGAUCAGACAAUGAAUUUUACUAUCAUAAGCUAAUAGAGUUCGUUGAUCUUUUAACAAGCUAAAAUAAUUAUAUAUAUUCUUUUGAAUGAUAAUACUAAAUAUAAGAAAAUAUAAUAUUAUAUCUUUCCACUUGAAGAUGAUCUUGAUAAAAGAUAUAAAUAUUCUUAUUACCAACUAGUUUUUUAAUUGAUUUGGAUAGUAAAAUAAUAAUUACUUUGGAUCUUUUAUAUCUGAAUUGUUUUUAGCUAAAUUGUUUUUUCAAGGACUUGUAAUAUAUAACAUACACAUAUGAAUUCUCGCCAACAUACAUCAAUAGUAUCAAUAGAGGAACAAGUCGCACUAUUAGACUUCGUUGAUCAAAGAUUCACAUUUACAAAUCAAUAUCAAAAGUUUCCAACCAAAUAAAAUCAAAUAUUAUACUUUUAUUUAUAAUAAACUCUCAUACAGAAGGAACAAAAAGCUCUAAAUACGGAAACAAAAUAACAAUAAUAAAAAUCAAAACAAAUAUAUUAUAUGAUAAAUAGAUAUGAAUUUAUUAAAAUGGCUAAGAGAAUUUAAAAGAGAAAAAGAGAAGAAGUUGAAUCAAAGGAAAAAAAUAGAAUGUAGGAGAUUAUCACUAAUCAACAUCAAGCGGCCACAAACUAAAUUUUUAAACAUUUUAUAAAUUUCAAUCAAUGACUUCGUUAUUUUAGGUGUCUCGUCAUGCCGAAGAGAUAAUAAAAAAUCAAAAUUCGAAAGACUCAAGAAAGAUCAUCUUUUCACCAUUCAUAUUUAAAUAUAAUAUAUAUAACGGCAGAGCUUCUUAUGGUCGAAAGGUCGCUGGGCAAUUCUAAGAAAUUUUUUUUAAAAGAAAAAUUCUUAUGAAAUAUUAUAUUUUGGUCUUUAAAAAUAUAAAAAAAUUAUAUUUUGAUACCCUAAAAGUUUUUAAAACUUCAUUUAGCUUGUUUAAAGUAAUUGUCUUAGUUCUGUGCUGAAUAUAUAUAUAUAUAUAUAUAUAUAUAUAUAUAUAUUAAAUAUUCUAUGUAUUAUCCCUAUCACAUUUGCAUUGAUAACCAGGACAAGAAGCUUGUAGCCAAAUGUUAGAGUACUGACAACUAAUUCCCACUGUGAAAUGUUUUAUUAGCCUCUGAUCAUCAAUGAUUAAGUGGCCCACUUGUUUUAAUUUGUCCAGAACUUAUGGAAUAAUUAAUCAAGUAUUAAUAAUUAUUUUUGGAAGCGAACAUUCUAGAUAUACCUUUUUUCUCUUGUUCAGCUACUGCAACAUUUUUGUUGGAGAAUCAAGAACUUAUGGCUUAAAAUAUUCGCAUAUACUAUAUUAAGUACUCCCAUCUUCAAAAUAGUUCAUUUUCUAUUUUUACACAGAUUAAAAAAAUAAUAAUUAUUAUGAGUUUUGACAAUUCUAUUCCUAUAACUUUUCUAUCAUACCAUUUUAAAUAACAUAUGAGCAAUUAUUAUAUUUAAAUAAUAAGUAAAAAUUAAUGAGGGUUAUUGAAAAUAAGAAAAAAUUUAAUAAGGGUAUAAUAGACAAUUUCAUGAUUAACUAUAAUACAAAAAAGAAAAAUAAACCAUAUUUUAGGACAAAUUAAAAAGAAAAGAUGAAAUAUUUUUUUGAGGCAGAUCUAUUAUUCUUCUCACAAUAAUGAUUUUAUAAGUACAGUUUUUUUUUUUCUUUAUACUCAAAUGAUAUGAGAAGCUAAUUUUAUAAAAAACGAAGAUUAAUUUGUCUUUGAAUUUGUUUAAUAGGAUAAAAAAUGUCAAGAUUUGAUCUUUUUAGAUCAAUUUAACAUCUAAACUUAUUUAAAAUAAUUAAAAAGAUCAGAUUUAAUAUUUUGGAUUAAUUUAGUCCCUGACUAUUCGCUGUAUUUAUAACGUGAGAAUUCUUAUAUAGACAUUUAUUAAAAUUAUAGUUGGAAUCACGUGGUAUAAUUUAUUGAAAAAUUUAAUUAAAUAUCAAAUUGAGGAAAUAAUAUAUGAAAUAUAUUAUAUCCCUCUUUAUCUUGAUCUAUCAUUUUAAAUUCAUAAAUAUGUACUAAUUUAAAUAUUUUAAAAUUGAACUUUACUACUAGAUUAUUGCAUAUGCAGUUCAUGCAUUUCUCAUGUUAAACGAAUUCAAAGUUACACUACAUAUUUUAUAAAUUUACUGUGUUAAAGAAAUAAUAUUUUCGUGAUUUUAAAAUUCUAUUCAGAAGUAUUGGAAAAGUUUGAUCUAGAUAUUCCUAUUAAAUUGAAUCAAUUUAUUAUUUUGUAAAAAUCAAAAUAAAUUUAGUGGCUGAAUUGAUUUAAAAAAAAUCAAAUCUGACUUUUAAAUCCCAUAAAUAAGUUCGUGAGCUAAAUUAGUCUUUAUUCCAUUUUAUAACCACAAAGUCGUGUUUAAAAUUUUAAACAAUAUGGUUCUUAUGUUGCCUGUAACGGUUUCGUAUGCUCUAGUAGCUUUCUCUCUUUUGUCCAAGGUUUCUUGUCCUGCCAACAUGGAGAGGGACUUUAAUCAUUUGUCAAUCGCUGAUGAUGAGGAAGAAGGCUUGCCUGUUAACGCAUCUUCAGAUGCCACCAAGUCUACCUACGAAUUUUGUCUUGUCGACAUGUUCUUGACUUGCGGGACUGUGAAUUUUUAGUCCAUGCGAAACACUUUCGCAGAUUUGUGGCAUUCGCUCGGAGGGAUUAUAAUUACUGAUUUGGGAGCCAAACGUUUUCUGUUUCGGUUCUACAACAAAGUGGAUUUGGAUAGGGUUUUGAAUGGUGCCCCAUGGACUUUUAAUCGACACUUGCUGGUAUGGGGUCUGAUAAAAAAUGAUGAGGACCCGCUGCUGAUUCCUUUGCUAUACUCGGAUUUCUGGGUUCAGGUACAUAACUUGCCGGUCGGGUUAAUGUCUGCGGCAGUGGCCAAAUCAAUAGGGAAUUUCAUUGGUACUUUCAUUGAAUAUGACAUUAAGACUGUUCAUUUUGAUCCCAAUCAAUUUAUGAGACUGCAGGUUAAGUUGGAUAUUCGUACCUUUACGUAGAGGAAAGAAGUUGAUUGAUUCUAAUGGUAAUGUUCAUUAUGUCCAAUUCCAGAAUGAAAAACUUCUUGUGUUUUGCUAUACUUGCGGUCGCUUGGGACACACCGAUUCGUUCUGUAAAUUACAAUUGCACAAGUCUAAAAAAGAACUCAAGCCAGCUUGGGAUGAUCGAAUAAGGGUGCCGAUUCGCCGGAAAAUUCAGCAAACAACCAUGGCUGCAUGAUGAUAGAAAGUUUGAUGAUACUCCAAUCCAGGCAGAUAUUUCGGGAUGUGUGGGCGGGAAAUAUGGAGUUUUGAAAUCCCAACAAUUUUGAGCUUCCUUUUAUGGCACGAUAGUUAAUUUUAAUGUUAGUACUAAUCCCAUAGGCUUUAUGGAGACUGAUACAAAUUCUUUGAAUGGGUCCAAUACUGAUGGGCUUGACGAGGAUGUGGUCUUAGAAGAUGUGGGUGAAAUGAAGAAGAGGCCCCGAUGAUCCUUUUUGGUGAGGGUAUUAAAGUGGCUAGUGAUCCUUGAGGAGGAUCCUUUUUGCUGUAGAAUCAACGUGGUAGCUCUACUGUGGAUAUUGCCGUGAAGUACCUAUCGAAUUGGAGAGAAGUGUGUCUGCCACAUGAAGCUGCUGUGACGUCCAUUUCAGUGCUUCAUUGACAUGCACAUAAAGCACCAUCCAUUCACGCUCACAAUUUUGUUUGGAUUUGCUUCAUUGAUGGAUCAGUGUUCACAACCAUGGAUUUCAUUGGCUAUGCUUAUGUUAUUGAGGACAGUGAGGGACGGUUUCAACGUGCAGUGUCAGGGUUUCAGGAAGGCAAUGGCUCGGCGGUGGUGAUGGAGGCUAUAGCUCUUCGUUCCUGCCUUUCAUAUGCUCGUGAUUUUCUAUCUUUAAAUGGGUGUAUUUUUUCAAAUUGCCAAAAUCUUAUGAAUGCUCUCAAAUCCCAUUGUUUUAGAUAAUUUUGAAUUUGGUUUGAUUGUUCUUGAUUGUAAGCGAAUUUUAGAGUCUAGACAUGAUAUUACUGUCAGGUGGAUUCAGAGACAAGCUAAUAUGGAUGCUCACACUCUUGCUAGAGCAUCUAUACAUCAUGCUCGUUUCCAAAUUUGGGAUGAUGUUCGUCUUGUUAGUUAGAUUUUUUCCAUUGAGAUAAUGCAAUAUUAUUUCAUUUAAAACAAAUUUAAAACAAUAUAUAAAUUUUAUCAAACAAAUUUAAAUUAAUAACUCUAAAAAAUUUUAAUUUUUAGAUAUUAAAUGGUGUUAUUAGAUGUAAACUAAAUUUAUAUUGUUAUUUCAAUUUAAAUGUCUAAACAAAAUUCUCAAAUUCUUUUUUUGUUAAUAUUUUUUUGGAGAAAUAUAAUUCAUUAAUAAUAAAAGUAUUACAAAUACUCAAUUAGAUCAAAUAUAAAACUUAUUAUCAUAAUUAAUAAAAAGUUCGAUGAUCCUUCAACAAUAAAAGAAUUAUCUAUAUUUUUUUGAAUAGUAAAACUAAAAUUAAAAGAAACAGUUGGAGUUUUCCGCUUGAAAAAAACUUUGAUCGAUAUAAAUCUUCAUAGUAACAACUGAUCCUUUAAUUGAUUUGGACGAUAAAAUAACUUUUUCGAACUUUAUAUGCUUGGAUUGCUUUUUCAAAAAUUUGUUGCAUAUAACAUAUGCGGAUGAGUUUAAACCACUAUGGGUUAAUAGCAUGAAUGAAGGAACAGACUGUACUAUCAGGUUCCAUUGGUUGAAGAUACACAUCAGUAAAACAAGAUCGAAAUUCUCCAAUCAAAUAAAAUCAAAUGUCAUACCUUUUAAUAAUAAAUCUUCACAAGGAACUAAACCCUCUCAAAAGAAUGGGCAAAAAAACUCCAAAUAUGGAGACAAAACAAAUCAAUAACAAAAACAACAAUAACAAAAAUAUAUCUAUUAGAAGAAAAUGGAUUUGAGUUUAUUAAAAACAAAUAAAAGAUUAGGAGCCAGAAGAAAAAAAAAAAAAGUAUGGGGCUACUACUGAUUAACAAUGGCAACCUCAAACAAAAACUAUGAUUAAAUAAAUCAGAGAGAAAAGAGGAGGAGAGAAACCCUAAAACUAUCGAUUUUUUUUUUGUUAAUAUUUAAAAUGACGGUUUUUUUUUUUUUUUUUUUUUUUUUUGCGAAUGUUAAACAAAUCCCUAAAUAGUAUAGGUAAUAAAAUAAAAAAAAAUAUGUAUCACUUUAAUAAUAAUUUCAUGUUAAAAAAUGUUGGAAAAAUAGAGCUCUUGAAUAGGAAAAUCCGGUAUCGAAUUUUUGCUCUGCUAGGGUUUAUCACUUUAACAUUUAAAAAAAAAAAAAAACUAUUUUCAAGACAGUUCAUUUUCUAUUAUUUCUUUUUAAUAUUGAAUAUUAAUUAAAUAACUUACUUUUAAAAAUAUUUUUCCUUGACUUUUUUAAACACUUUAAAUAUAGAAAAAAUUCAAAAAUAUUUUUUAAAUAAAUUAUUUUCAAGAAAAAAUCUUGGAUAAUGGAAAUUUGGAAAAUUAGAUAAAUAAUAAUAAAACCUUAUGCACAGCAAACAUUUGUUAUAUGGUGUCCCAAGAAUAGUAAAACUUGUGGCUGAAUUUUGUAUUUCUUUUUUAGAUCACUCUCUAUCACGCUCUUAACAAUUCCCAUUUGCUGAAGUGGUCCCCAUAAAAGUAUUCUUGAUUGAGAUUUGAAUACGAAUUUCAAUUAAGUAAGCUUCAAGUUACAAACAUCAUCUUCACAAAAUUUCCUUCAUUGGUGAAGCAUUUAUCAUUUGGUAAGUUUUCUCAGAUUUAACACUAUGUUUGGAAUUGGGAGAUUUUAUGAUAGGAAGAAAAUUUUGAAUGGAAAAUAAGAAAAGAAAGCUAUUUUCCUCCUGCUUAAAUGUAAAUAAAAUUUGAAAGGAAAGAAAAUAUUACCAAAAUCCUUUCUGUCCCAUAUUUUAUUAAUCUCUCCAAAUUGGCGAGAAAAUAGGAGAUAAAUGUAUAAAAGGAUAGAAGUGUAAAUUUACAACAAUACAAUUUUCUUUCCUCCAUAUUUUAGACUUUUCUAAAUAAUAUAUAUAUAUAUAUAUUUUUUAUUUUUUUUUUUCCUUUCAAUCUAAACAUAAAAUGGAAAAUAAAGAAAAAAAGAGCUCUUGUUUUACUCGGCACAUGUACAAAAUAUAAGACAUCAAUGUGUUGAACAUGCAAAUCCCAUGCAUGUAUCUGCCAUGCAGGGAUUCAUAAUUAGCUCAACUGAAAAAUUGUUAAGAUCUUUCUUCAUUGUCUUUUUGUCAUAUAAAAAAACACGAGAAAAAUAAAAUAAAACAAGAAAAGGAAGCGCAUGCACAUGCCUGUAAAUGUAUAAUAUACAUCCAUCCAAAUGGGCAAAGAUUAGAUGCCUUCUCACCAUUUUUCCGCGCAUCCAAAACCGUAAGGGGCCACUCACACUUGAUGUGCAGGAUACUUAAAUCAGUUACGCAGCCAGAAAAUUAAAAUUAGAGAUAAAAAAAUUUUCAAGAGUUAACAAGAGUGAGAUUAAAAAUUUUAUUAUUUUAAAAGGAAAAAUAAAAAAUUUUAUUAUUUUUUAUUAUUAGACUAAUUUUAAAAGGUAAAAUAAUAUAUUUUCAUAUAUUAUUAGACUAAUUUUAUUUUAAAAUUUAAUAUUAUUUCUUCUAAGUAUUUUUUUAUGAAUAGAAAUUUUAAUAGAGAAUUAGAGAUCAUCCACUGGAUUUAAAAGUUAAAAUAUAUUUAUAAAUUAUUUCAUCUAUUACACUUAAAUUAUCAACUUGUAGCUUCUUCAUACAAAAUAAGGAGAUAAUUAAUUUAUCUUAAAUCUAUAAAAUUUUCAUUUGAAAUUAUUUUAAUAUUUAUUUUAUAAAAUAUUAUUAAGAGCGAAUGAAUAGUGAGAUCCAAUAAAGAAGAGUAAAAAAUUAAAAAUGUAAUAUACUCUUUUCUAAAUUAUAUAAAAAAAUGACACUUAAAAUAGAACAAAAAAAAAUCUUAAAAGUUAAACAGAAUAUCGGAAGUAUAAAUAAUAGAUUUUAUUUUUUAUUUUUUAAAAAUCGAAUUAAUCAGAGCAAUACUAACAAAAUAAUAUUGUAAAGUUACUUAGGACAUCCCUUCCUCUUAUCUCUCCGUGUGGUCGCUUUCAUUGGCUUCAUAAUCAUACACAUAUUCAUGGCCCACUUACGAAGCCAUCUCACAACCACAAAAUAUAAUUUUCAAAAGAAAAAUGACCGUUCGGACAGCUUGUUAAGUUUUUCCACACUUCUUCCUCACUUUCCCACUCUCUAUAACGGCUACAAUAGAAGGCUCUGGAACAAUCUACCUGUUUUAAGACGGCGGGACACGUGUAACCAAUCACAUGGGCUGCUUUUGCUCGAAAAUGGAGAAGAAUAAGCUGUAGUGUUACUCUUAGAUGUGAAUUAUUUGCUUCAAAUGAUGCUUUAGUUGUUUCUAGUGAAAAUAGAGCAAUAGUAAUUUUUUUUUUUUACCAUUUAAUAUGAUGUACAAUGAAUUUUUUACACUAUGUACUAUUAUGCAGCAGUUACAACAUUUUAAAGUCCAUCAAAUAGUAUAAUCCAUUAGAAAAUCCAAUAAAUUUCUCAUUGCUCUUUUGAAUAAUAUUUACUAUAUUUGUGCAUAUUAAUUAUUAAAAAAAAUUUAUUUACACCCGGUGUUUGGAUCUAUUUAUACAUCAAAUCAAUCACAAAUAAUAUUUUGAUUUAAUCAAAUGUAUUUCUAAUCAUAUAUUAAAAAAAGAUAAAAUAAUAAUUUUUUUGAUUGGUUUACUGAAUGAGACUACCCAUAUACUAAGUGUUGAUAAAAAUUUCCUUAAUUAUUAUAGAAAAGUUAGAAAUAAUUCAAUCGCUUUUCCUUAACUUACUUUUUUGCACUUAAUGUAAUAAAAAAAACUUCAAAACUUUAAUAAUGUAAAAUGAUUCUUACUAAAUUGUAUAGUUAAGUCUAAUAGGAUUGUUGAGACUUUGGUUCUUAAUUUAUGAAAUUUCAAUUUUUAUCCUAAAAAAAAAAAAACAAAGUAACAGGAAAGCUCAUAUAAAUGAACAUGCAAGAGAAAAAAAAAUCAUUUUUUAACUAAAGUAAAUUAUUGCAUACUUCCCUCCUAGAUUACUCUGAAAAAUAAAAAAUAAAAUACACAAAAUUAAAAAUAUACGAGCUUUGUUAACAGAUACAUAUUACGUACAUUUACGAUUACAUUCUUAGCAUAAUAUCAAAAUUUUCAAAAACAUUACAGUUCUUUUAUUCUAUUUACAUUGUAAGUAUCUCUCUACACAGAUUAUGCCAAAAAUACUUUUUGAAUAUCAGUUAAUCAGAUUUAAAAUAGAAUCAGGUGCAGGUGAUAUUACUUAAAAAAAUAAUAUUUCACUGUGCCACGGCAUAUAAGAUAAAAGUGUAAUCGGCAUAUAAGAAGGCACAAAAUCAAGAGAGUUGACAUGAAUGGACUGCUGUUGGGAGUGUGAGUUGGACGGAUUUGAAAUAAAGAUAAGAGGAAAGGCAUAGGUGGGACCUGUUUACUGUGCCACAGCAUGAACCGUGAUGUUUUUUGCCAGCUGGUGGACACGUGAUUCUUGAUUAGUUCAAUUACUGCAUUUGAUCAAACAUGGCCCCACUCUUUGAAUAUUUAAUUUAAGAAAAAAACCCAACCAGAACACCUCAUAUUUCCUGACUGAAAUGCUUGCUUGCUGCGGGCUACUACAAUAUAUAAGAUAUAUCUAUACUGAAACCCUUUAUCUUUAAUUGGCAUUAUUAAAAGAUUUUGUAACCUUACACCGUGGAAAUACUGGAAAUGACAAUUUUAACUCAUUUAAAUGUAAAAGUUAAUUAACAAAUUUAUUUUGGAUAAUUUAUACAAAAUAUGAAUAAAUAUUGUAUUUCUAAAAUAUAAGUCGUUUAAAGUAUUGCAUGCGAUUAAUGAAUCAAUUAAUUUCGCUAAAAAUUAUAUCACUCCGUCUCAAAAUUUAAGUUGUCUAAGGUGAUAAUUUUAUCACAAAAUAUAAGUCAUUUUGAAUAUUUUAAGAAAUUACAAAUGAUUUUUUUUCUUUCAACUGUAUCCUUAUUUAUAUUAGAUAUAAUACAACGAUGUGAGAUAAAAGUAACAAUGAGAGAUAAAUGAUAAUUUGUUCAAAUUACUCUUGAUUUUGUUAGAAAUUUAGAAAAAUUAAUUGCAUUUUUAAUUCUCGUAUAAAAAUCUUAAACGACUUAUAUUUUGGACAAAUAGAGUAAUAAACUCAACAAUAAUUUGAUUUAUGAGAAUUAAUUUAAACGAUCAAAUUAUCCUUAAUCUCAAAAUCAAGUUAUUGUAUUAUGAAUAAAGUUAAAAUUGGAAAAAAGAUUAUUUGUUAAAUAUGUUUUGAAAUCAAAUAGUUUUAUGAGUUAAAAAGAUUAGAAAUAAUCAUUUUUUAAAUUCAUUUGGUGUUAAAUUGGGAUGAUAAAUUAUCAAAAAAAAAAAAAAAAUAUAUAUAUAUAUAUAUAUUUGACAAACAGAUUGAAAGCUAGUUCUUUUGAAAGUUUACUGAGAACACAAAUUACAAGCUCAUAGUAGUUAGUAGCUUGAUUAAGGAAACCCAUGAAGGACAAAAUGACAGUGGCAAAUGCCUUUGAGACCAAAAGGCUUCAGCUUCAAUUUUUUAUAACGUAACAUUUAAUAUCUUUCUCUUUAUGAUUUUUAAAUUAUUGUAAUUGCUAUCAACAGUAUAAAGUAUAGAAAAUUCAUUAUAUAUAAUAUUGAAUAAAAAAAAAAAAAGGGUGAGAAAUGUCAUUAUUUAUAGAAUUAAUUCACACAAACAUAAAUGCGAAGCUUCAUUCUACCUUUUAGGUGCUACCAUUCACUGAAGGGGAACGCACGCAUCAUUGAAGCUCAACGCCUGUCUUUUGCACUUUUCAAACUGAAUCAUUUCAUUCGUGAAAUAAAUUGAUGGAUAAAGGGCAAUUGCCAAACAAUAUUAACGGCAAAAACAAACGAGUCUUUUUUUUUUUUCUUUUUCUUUUCUUUUCAUUAGAAUAUUUAAAGUAUUGGUUAGAGGUAUAAUUAUAAAAUAUAAUUGAUCUCAUAAUUAAUCUUUUCCUUUUCUUAAUAAUAAUCAUUAUAGUCUUGCUUUUGGUGUUAUAGUUGUUUUUUUUUUUUAAUAAUAAAAAAAUAAUGUAUUAUGUCAAUCGAAUGUGAUCUGAUUGGUAUUUCCAUUCACCUUGAGAAGUUUCAAAUUUUAGAUAGUUAACUAUCAGAGUUAUCGUCAAUUUUGCUUAUAAAACAACAAGAGAGCUACCUAUAUUAUGCAGCCCACAAAAAUUCUUUAUAAUAAAUUAAAAAAAUAUUAUUUUAUUAAAAUUGAUAUAUUAUAUUUGUUAUUUAAUAGUUUGAACUAGAAAAAUAAGCUACUAAAAUUCACACAGAUUUUCUUAAAUAUAAAUUUUUACUAUGAAAAAUAGAAAUCAAAGUCAGAAAACAGAAAUGAUACAAAAUAGACACGUAAUCAUAUUUGAUGAGCAUUUCUCAUAAUACACGUUAGCUUGUUUAGCUUGUUUCGUGUAAAUUGAUGAUCCCAUUCUGUUUCGACAUAAAUGGUAUCAUUGGUUAUUAUAAACAAUUUCAAAAAUUUUUGAGCUACCACCAUAAAUACAACUUGUAUGAUUUCAAUUUUCAAAUUUAAAAGUUAUCUAAUAUCUACUUUAUCAAUGGACCUACACCUUUCCAAAUUUCUUGUUAAUCUUAUGCAUUAGAAAAUUUAGCCAAAUAAAAUUGAUAUUAUAUAUCAAUUUUAUUUAUUUUUCAAUUUAAAAUCACAAGUUUAAUUAUCGGAAAAUGCAUAUACUAUGAAGAAAAAAUUUUUAUAAUCAACUAUCCAAAAGAGAUUAGUUUACACCAAUAUAGUAGAAGAAAAAUAGUGGAAGAACACGUGACGAUUCUAAUAUGAUAUACAUAAACUAAAAAUAUUUUAAAGGAGUCUUCACUUAUAAUUUUGUUUUCAAAAUUUAAUACUUGUAAUUUGUUUUAACCAACUAUUUACUAUUUUUAAUUGAUUUUGUAAACUCAAAACUCCAUUUAUUUUUCAAAAAAUAAUUUAUUUUUAAAAAAUAUUUUUAAAAGCAAAACAUACUUGAAAAUUUGAAAUAACACAUUUUCUAUUGUUUGGUUACAAUAUUGAAAAAUUGUUAAAAAAUAUUAAAGCUUUUAUAAGAUCGAAAAAAUUUAUAAUUAUAAAAAGUUUCACAUUUUAAAAUUUUAUUAUUUAAUACAACAUAAAUAUUUAUUACGUGCUUGAUUGUAAUUUGUAUCUAAGACUUAAUCAUAUUUUAUGGACCAAAGAUAUAUUUUGUAUAGAAUCCAGAUAGAAAUAAGAGAUUAUAUUCCUAAAUCCUUCGCUAACUCUCAAUGAACUAGCAAUCACUCCAAAAUACUUAUUGAAUUGGUAUUUCAAAUAUUUAUCUAAUAAAGAUUCCACCUACAACUCUAAUGAAAAUUCUUUACCUCUGUAUAAAAGAGGGAUCAAACUCCCUACUCACACUAUUUAGGCAAUGUAAUACCAAUAUAUUUCAUUCAAUUAUAAGUAUUUAUUAUUUAUUUACUGACUUAAACAUAAAAGUGAUUGCAGGCCUAGAUGAGACCUUUAUUAUUCGUUUAUGUCUUGCAGAUUUCUACGGACCUCUCUUUAUUUUUCCUUGUUCAUUUAUGUCUUACAGAUUUUUACAUAGGCGCUAUGGAUAGAUUUUUCUAAGUCUAUCAUUAUUAAAUAUGAGAAACAAUAUUAUAAAAAAAGAUAAAUUACGAUAUCUAUCGAUGACCGUGGUCGUGAAAAUAAUGAUUAAUUAAUAAUAAAUAUGUAUUUAUAAGUUUAUAAUAAAUUUAUCAGUAUCUGAAAAAUAUUUUUCUCUUUUAGAAAAAGAAAGUUAUAAAAAUGAUUUAGUUCUCUCUUUCUUAAGGAAAAUAUCAUCUGUUGCUAAUUUUCUUGAACACUUCAAACAUUAAAAAAAAAUCUAAAAAAUAUUAUUCAGACAAGUUAUUUCUCGAAAUUAAUGGAAUCUCAAUAUUAAUUUAUUAUUAUUUUUUCCAUUGAGAAAAAAAUAUAUUAGAUUUAUUCCACUAUUGAGAAUAAAGGAAAUCAUUUAAAAUAAGAAAGCUCAAAAAGUUAUAGCCGUAAUACUAAUAGCAUUAUUUCAAAUUUGUUUGACAUGAUGUAAUCAACCGAAAUGAUAAUUACAUUAUAUGAGUAAUUACAUUAUUUGAUUAGACUUUUUUUAAUAGCGUAGUAUAAUUGAGACUACGUGUAUAAUCUUCAUCACUUAAAUUGAUGUAAUACUCAUUACAUGAAAAAACACACAUAUUGUCUAUUACAUCAAGUAAAUGGAAUACCGAUUAUAUUAAGUCAUCCCAAUCAAAACUCUACCAUUCUAGAUUAUUUAGGCUGUGUUGGGUAAUAAAGUUUUGAGUGGCUUUUAAAGUUUUGACUGGUCAAAACGUUACUUAAAAAGUUGUUUGGUAACAUAGCGUUUGGACUAGCUUUUAGAGAUUAGAAUAACGUUUUGUGAAAAGUUAACUCACGUAACGUUUAGCUUUUAGCGUUUCAUGAAAAACUACUCAAACAGCUAACAACUAAACACUAUUAAAAUAGCAAAUAGCUACCAAAAUAGCUAAUUUUGCCGAACAUAUCCUUAAUACUACCACUUCACCACCACAACCACUAUCACCGCUUCACCACCACAGCACCACCUUAACACCCACCACAACCACUGCCACAAUUACUACUCCACCACCACCACCACCACUACUGUUCCAUCACUACUUCAACCACCAUUACCGCUCUGCAACGACAACCAUCACCAUUGUUCUACCAUCACCACUACUACCACCAUCACUGCUCCAUCACUAUCACCUCAACUACCACCACCGCUGCUGCUGCCUCAACUCCUACCAUCAUCGCUCCACCACCACUAUCACCACCAUCGCUUUACCACCACCACCAUGUGGUGGUGAUAUGAUUAGUGGUGAUGGUGUGCUAAUUAUAUUACAUAUUUACAAAAAAAAAAAAAAAGAACGAUGAUUAUAUUCCUAAAUUUUCUUGAUAAUAUUAUCAAACAUAGUAAUGAAAUCUUAAUUAAAUUACGUUUUUCAUCACAUUACUUCUUUAAUUACAUUAUAUUGCCUUACAUCAAACCAGACAUAGCGUUAGCAUGUAUAUCCUCAUACACAUCAAAACUUGACUCUAAUAUCUAUGAGAAAAAUGCACAGUUAAGCCCUUAAAUUUAAUCAGUUUUUCCAUUAAACUUUUAUUUAUGAAUAUUAAGUUUUUAAACUUUUAUUUUUUUUAAAAAAAUUAAACUCUAUUUAACCGAGAUUUAAACUUUUAUUUUUUUAAAUUAAACUCUUAUUUAAUUAUGAGUUAAACAAUUAUAAUCCCAUAUGUUAUACGCGGUUGAUGGGAAAACUUAAUCGAAUUGUUAAAUCUCUUAAACUUUUAUUUUUUGAAAAUUAAGUUUUUAAAUUUGUACUUUUGUUAAAGUGAGUAUUUAAAUUAUUUCCAUUAUCAGUGAUUUGAAUUUAUUAUUUACUCACUAUCGAUUUAGAACUUAAUUUUAACUUAAAUAAAAAUUGAAGGAUUCAAUAUUGAUAAAUGAAAUUGCAGGAGCUUAGUAGACAAAACUUGAAAAAUAAGAGGCUUAAGUACAUCUUUUACCAAAUAUAAUCAAGAGUUAAUUUACACUCACACAUAGGUGAGGAUAGGAUUAGGAUAGAAGUGUGGUAAGUGCCCGCGAACUUUGAGUUAUCCAUAUCUAUAUCUGUUUAGAGCUUUAAAAUCAAUUGUAUCUAUGUUAAAUCCGUUUAAAUACCUAUAUCAAAAUCUGUUUAAAAUUUUACUGUCCGAUCCAUUCAAAAUCUAUUUUAAAUACUUGUAUUUGAUGUUCAUAAAAUUUAAACCAUUUAAACACGAACUUAUUUAAAAAAGUAUCUUCCAUUGAUAAUGGAUAAAGUAUCAAGGAUACUCACAGUAAAACUCAUUUAAUAUAAUGGAUAACAAGUAACGAAUAUUCAAACUCAUUUAGUAAAACUCCUGAAUUCAAACGACAGGAUUUGCAAGUGAAGAGAGAUGGAACCUAAAACGGUUGGCUAUGUACUCAAUGUAGAUUCACUAACAAAGUACAACAAAUGCAAAUACCAAGUAAAAAGGAACAAAUGGUUAAGAAUUCAGACAAAGUCCUAACUUCAAAGUUCAAAGUUCAAACCAUAAAAUCAUUUCAGUAAGGAGAAAUCAAACUAAAACUUUUGAAUGUUAAAAUUUCAACUUUAACCACAGAACCAAAACCCUGUUAGCUAUGUACUAACACAAAGUGCAAGAAACACCGAGUACGAACUCAAGCACAGUAAGAUUGAGCUGGAUUGCCCAUAACCCAAAAACACUAGAAUGUGUCUGGUGUGGAGGGGUCCAGAAGCCAACUUAAAUAGAAGCAGAGGGACAACACUGGAAAUUAUGAUUUAAAAAAAAAAAAAAAAAAAAAACUAAAAAGCAAAGAGAGAAACAGACAAGAAAUAACCGUUGUAGGGGUGGCUUUUUGGGUUGGAUGCCAGGCUGACGCUUGAGCCCCCCUCAGAUGAUUCAGCUCACAUGGUCUAUCUGUACACUCUGGGUCCCACCCUCCACUUUCUCUCUCUACUACCCUCUUUGGAUUAGUUGUCAAAUGAUCCUUUUAUGUUAUCAUAUUACACACUUUCAUCCUAUCUAUUUCAAAGUUACUAACUUUAGUUAAUGAGAUUUAAUCUGCCAAAUGCAUAAAUUAAUAUCUAAAUUUUAUAAGAAGAGUCUAGUAGCACCUUUAAACGUUGAAAACUUCUUUUCGUAAAAUUAUAGCUAGUAAAUGCCUUAAUUUAAAAAACCGUAUUUAUUAAAUACUUAAACGUAUAUAAUUAUGUUUAUUAAAUAUUUAUCGGAUGAUUUAAAAUAUAAAAAUUUUAUUAUUUAAUAAAUUAUAUUAAAAGUUAUAUAAAAUGUUACACUUAUUGAAUAUAUUAUUUAGUAAUUGUUGUAAAAUUAAAAACCCUGUUUUUUUUUUUUUCAAAUUAAGUUGAUACUUAGUCUCAACUGUGCUUUUAUCCAUAAUUUUAAAUAAUUUAUUUGUAGAAACCCUAAAAACCAUAUAUUUUUCGUUGACAUAUCAUAAAAAUUAAAAUUAUUAAUUUCAAACUGUUUAAAUACUGGUAAAAUGUAAAAUAAUGCAAAUGGUGACAGUUUUUGCAACCAACUUUUUUUCUUGGAAAUUCUCUGUAUUACAAUCGUCUUUUAUAAUAUUUUUAUUAAUAUUAUUUUGUUCCAAACAUGCCCUUGUCUUAUCCAAAUAAUGCCCCGUACUCUCCUGCCCUUCUCUCUAUUCUUAUAAGGGCAGUGGCCUGUGGAUCAAAGACCACAGUCCCAAGAGAGAAGAGAAAGACAAAGCAAUUAAGCUCACAAGAGAGAAGCUCUUCUAUUUUCUAGAGUAAGAAAGAAGAAAGAAGACGAUGGCCAAGGAAGUAAGUGAAGAAACGCAAACUACCCAUGCAAAGGAUUAUGUUGAUCCACCACCUGCGCCACUGAUCGACAUGGCUGAAAUCAAGCUCUGGUCUUUCUACAGAGCUUUAAUAGCUGAGUUCAUAGCCACUCUCCUUUUCCUUUACAUAACUGUAGCCACUGUAAUUGGCUACAAGAAACAAACUGAUCCAUGUGGUGGAGUUGGUCUUUUGGGCAUUGCAUGGGCCUUUGGUGGCAUGAUCUUUAUCCUUGUUUACUGCACUGCCGGUAUAUCUGGUAAGUAAAAAAAAAAGGAACUAUUUCUCUAAGUUACUAGUACCCAAAUGGGUAUUUAUUAAGUUUUAGGUUUCUGUGAAGUUUCUUUGUGGAUUUGGUCAUUCAACUUGAAAAAUAACAAAACCCAUUUGUUUUCAAGACCUGUUUAAUAAUGGGUUUUCCUUAUUUUGGUUACAGGUGGUCAUAUUAACCCAGCAGUGACCUUUGGGCUGUUUUUAGCAAGAAAGGUGUCACUAAUUCGAGCCUUGGCUUACAUGGUGGCUCAGUGUUUAGGUGCCAUCUGUGGUGUAGGGUUGGUCAAAGCUUUUAUGAAGAAUCCAUAUAAUCAUCUUGGUGGUGGUGCUAACUCUGUAAAUACCGGCUAUAGCAAAGGAACUGCUUUGGGUGCUGAGAUCAUCGGCACUUUUGUUCUAGUCUACACUGUUUUCUCUGCAACUGACCCCAAGAGAAGUGCACGUGACUCACACGUUCCUGUAUGUUAUCAACCAUAGCCUAGUAUAGCUCUCCUCUUUCAUGUCAAAGAGUUCAAAUCUAAACUUUGUUUUGGUUAUGUUUGGUUGCAGAUUUUGGCUCCACUUCCAAUUGGGUUUGCAGUUUUUAUGGUUCACUUGGCUACCAUACCCAUUACUGGUACUGGUAUUAACCCAGCGAGGAGCUUCGGUGCUGCUGUUAUUUACAACAAUGAUAAAGUCUGGGAUGAUCAUGUAAGCCUCUUGAUAGUCAACCAGAAACUUAUUUUUCUUGAUUUUAUGGUUGUUUUGAAGUUGGUGCUUUUUAACAUAAAACAUCAGAAGUAGGUUAAUUUUCAAGAAUAUGUUUAUCUUCUUGAUAAAAUAAUUUAAUUUCCUUUUUAAUUAUUUUUUGGAUGGGCAGUGGAUUUUCUGGGUUGGACCGUUUGUUGGAGCAAUUGCAGCAGCUGCAUACCAUCAAUACAUACUGAGAGCAGCAGCUAUCAAAGCUUUGGGAUCUUUCCGCAGCAACCCCACCAACUAAAAUGAAAGAAAGAACGAAAGAAAGAAAAACAAGAAAAAAAAAAAAAACCAAAGGCUUUGUGUAGCUAUCUUUAGUCUCUAGUCUUUCUUUUUCUCUAUUUGUUUGUUUGUUGUGUGUAAUGAGAGGAUUAUGAUGAUGACCCUUCUUUCUUCUUUCUUUUUUUACUUCAUUUUUUCUUUUCUUAUUGUUCUUUUGUAUCAUUGUUAAUGAGUAGUGCUGUUCUUUUUUCUUUCUUUUGAUCAUAUUUAAUUGCUUUGUGCAGUGUAGAACGUUCUCUCUCAACACUCUUUUAAUAAUUAGCCACUAAAUAAACUACCAGCUAACUAAAUUUUUAUCCUCUCGACCUUCAUUACAGCGGUGCUAGUGAAUUUGUGAGUAGCGGUUAGGCCAUCUUCGGGAACAGUUUUUUCAUAUGGC
rnacentral:lncRNA from 1 species